UUAAGACGCGGAGUUAAGAGGAACAGAAGAAGAAAGAAAGAAGUUUGAGAGGUUCUUCCUCUGAUGUUCGGCUCACGAUCAACAAUGCAAAACUCACAAAGUCAACAAAAGAUCCACGUAUCUAUUUGCAACAUGAACAUAAAUACUGCUGUUCCCUUUGCUAAUACAAGCUACAGAACCAUUUAGCACAAACUGCUAUGGUUCAACAUAACGAUGCCUCUGAAUGU